ACGUGCCUACAUUAUAGUGUUAAUGCACCAGUUCGCAUUAGAAAUUUGCAGUUAAGUCCGCUCAGGCUAGAGUAAUACUGGGAUGCGUGCCCGCCUAGGAAGUCCUAGUGUUUUACAUGCC
rnacentral:rRNA from 1 species